rnacentral:rRNA from 1 species
ACGGAGGGUGCGAGCGUUAAUCGGAAUCACUGGGCGUAAAGCGCACGUAGGCGGUGUCGUAAGUCGGAUGUGAAAGCCCUCGGCUCAACCGGGGAACUGCAUUCGAUACUGCGAUGCUUGAGUGCCGGAGAGGGUGGCGGAAUUCCAGGUGUAGGGGUGAAAUGCGUAGAUAUCUGGAGGAACACCGAUGGCGAAGGCGGCCCCCUGGGCGUGAACUGACGCUGAGGUGCGAAAGCGUGGGGAUCGAACAG